rnacentral:rRNA from 1 species
GAUCAACGCUGGCGGCGUGCAUGAGACAUGCAAGUCGAACGAAGGAUCGGGCUUGCUCGAUCCUUAGUGGCGGACGGCUGAGUAACGCGUAGGUGACCUACCCCGAAGUGGGGAAUAACUGCCCGAAAGGGUGGCUAAUACCGCAUGUGGUCGCACGUUCAUGCGUGCGAGUAAAGCCGCAAGGCGCUUCGGGAGGGGCCUGCGUCCGAUUAGCUCGUUGGUGGGGUAAUGGCUUACCAAGGCGACGAUCGGUAGGUGGUCUGAGAGGACGAUCACCCAGACUGGGACUGAGACACGGCCCAGACUCCUACGGGAGGCAGCAGUCGGGAAUUUUGCUCAAUGGGGGAAACCCUGAAGCAGCAACGCCGCGUGAGGGAUGAAGGCCUUCGGGUUGUAAACCUCUUUUGUCAGGGACGAUGAUGACGGUACCUGGCGAAUAAGCCACGGCUAACUACGUG